rnacentral:rRNA from 1 species
GACGAACCGUGCGAACGUUGUUCGGAAUCACUGGGCUUAAAGGGCGCGUAGGCGGGUGUGCAAGUCUGUGGUGAAAGCCUCCAGCUUAACUGGAGAAGUGCCAUGGAUACUGCGCAUCUUGAGGAGGGUAGGGGCAUCUGGAACAUUGGGUGGAGCGGUGAAAUGCGUUGAUAUCCAAUGGAACUCCGGUGGCGAAGGCGAGGUGCUGGACCCUUCUGACGCUGAGGCGCGAAAGCCAGGGGAGCAAAGCGGG